rnacentral:rRNA from 1 species
GACGUACGCUGGCGGCGUGCUUAACACAUGCAAGUCGAACGAUGAAGCCCUAGCUUGCUGGGGUGGAAGAGUGGCGAACGGGUGAGUAACACGUGAGUAACCUGCCCUUAACUCUGGGAUAAGCACUGGAAACGGUGUCUAAUACUGGAUAUGACCUCUGGAGGCAUCGUGGGGGGUGGAAGGAUUUAUCGGUUUUGGAUGGACUCGCGGCCUAUCAGCUUGUUGGUGAGGUAAUGGCUCACCAAGGCGACGACGGGUAGCCGGCCUGAGAGGGUGACCGGCCACACUGGGACUGAGACACGGCCCAGACUCCUACGGGAGGCAGCAGUGGGGAAUAUUGCACAAUGGGCGCAAGCCUGAUGCAGCAACGCCGCGUGAGGGAUGACGGCCUUCGGGUUGUAAACCUCUUUUAGUGAGGAAGAAGCGAAAGUGACGGUACUCACAGAAAAAGCACCGGCUAACUACGUGCCAGCCGCCGCCGUAA